rnacentral:tRNA from 1 species
UUCUAGCUUAAUUUUAAAAGCUUUACAUUGAAGCUGUAUUGAUGGUAAUUUAAUACCCUUGGACA